GGCCGGUGAUUAUAAACGUAUUUGCUACUCUUGAUGGCUUCGGCCAGCUGAUUAAACACAAUACCACUAAGAUCGAUGAGGCC
rfam:Physcomitrella patens subsp. patens PHYPAscaffold_41 genomic scaffold, whole genome shotgun sequence.